ACGUAGGGUGCAAGCGUUAAUCGGAAUUACUGGGCGUAAAGCGUGCGCAGGCGGUUUCGUAAGUCUGUCGUGAAAUCCCCGGGCUUAACCUGGGAAUGGAGAUGGAGACUGCGAGGCUAGAGUUUGGCAGAGGGGGGUAGAAUUCCACGUGUAGCAGUGAAAUGCGUAGAUAUCAAGUGGGACACCAGUGGCGAAGGCGAGUCUCUGGACAUUUCCUGACGCUGAGGCACGAAAGCCAGGGGAGCAAACGGGA
rnacentral:rRNA from 1 species